rnacentral:tRNA from 1 species
GAGUUAUUUUUUUUAGUUUUGAAAACUGAUUUUGAACGGAUUGUUCUUAACUUU